GACGAACGCUGGCGGCGUGCUUAACACAUGCAAGUCGAGCGGAGCGGUGAACGGGUGAGUAACGCGUGAGUAACUGCCCCCCUCUCUGGGAUAACAGUUGGAAACGGCUGCUAAUACCGGAUAGUGGGGGAUGACUCGGGGCCUAUGAGUUUGUUUGUGGGGUAGUGGCGUACCAAGGGGACGACGGGUAGCCGGCCUGAGCGGGCGACCGGCCAAAUUGGGCUGAGAUACGGCCCAAACGCGUACGGGAGGCAGCAGUGGGGAAUAUUGCACAAUGGGGGAAACCCUGAUGAAGCAACGCGCGUGCGGGAUGACGGCCUUCGGGAUGUAAACAACUUUCAGCGAUGACGCGGUAGUGGCAGAAGAAGCACCGGCUAACUACGUGCCAGCAGCCGCGGUAAUUC
rnacentral:rRNA from 1 species